rnacentral:rRNA from 1 species
AGUGAACGCUGGCGGUAGGCCUAACACAUGCAAGUCGAACGGCAGCACAGUAAGAGCUUGCUCUUACGGGUGGCGAGUGGCGGACGGGUGAGGAAUACAUCGGAAUCUACUUUUUCGUGGGGGAUAACGUAGGGAAACUUACGCUAAUACCGCAUACGACCUACGGGUGAAAGCAGGGGAUCUUCGGACCUUGCGCGAUUGAAUGAGCCGAUGUCGGAUUAGCUAGUUGGCGGGGUAAAGGCUCACCAAGGCGACGAUCCGUAGCUGGUCUGAGAGGAUGAUCAGCCACACUGGAACUGAGACACGGUCCAGACUCCUACGGGAGGCAGCAGUGGGGAAUAUUGGACAAUGGGCGCAAGCCUGAUCCAGCCAUACCGCGUGGGUGAAGAAGGCCUUCGGGUUGUAAAGCCCUUUCGUUGGGAAAGAAAAGCAGCAGGUUAAUACCCCGCUGUUCUGACGGUACCCAAAGAAUAAGCACCGGCUAACUUCGUG